GCCCAGGGUUCCCUUCUCUUGGCUUCCCGUCCCUAUGCGGUCAGUGUACCUGGGCAGGGCUCAGGAACUGCCUUGUCGGGGCAGCCUGGAAGCCAGUCAUUUCUCUCCUGCUCUGGAACUCUGUGUUCUGCCAGGGACACAGUUUGUGGGGCAGGCCUGAGGCCUUCCAUGUAGCUGGUGGGGAGUUGACUAGCUUUGCUUAUGCUCUCAAGUUGAUCCGUACAGUGCCAGAUUAUACCCUAUCAUAAGAGAUAGGGUCCCCUGAACACAAGAAGUCAUCUCCCUUUCUGGGACUGUGAACUCAAGAAAGCAGGAAGUAUGCCUUAUUCAUCACUGGGUCCCCAGUGCUUAGAACAGUGCCUGGCACAGAGACGGGGCUCUGUAAAGAUCUGCUGAAUGAACACUUUAUCCUCUUACUUCUUAUCCUUCAAGCCUCAGAUGCUCCCCCAGGAUGCCUUCUUCGUUUCCCCAGACUGGUUCAAGCUGCACCUCCGACGUGCUCCCACAGCCCCUGAGCUGCCUCCCUGCAGACACCAUACCUGCCGUGGCUGCUUGUUUGCUGAGUAGCCUCUCCCACUGAACCCUGGGCAACUUGAGAUAAAUGAAGAUUUUGAGGCCAAAGGAGAAUUGCAGGGAAGAUAAAUCCUGAAAACUUUUCAAACAUUUCAGAAUGCACACUCCCUUUGAAGAGUAAAAAAGGAUAUU